rfam:Oryza brachyantha chromosome 5, whole genome shotgun sequence.
UAAAAUAGCAAACUUUCGGUUUCCGUGUCUAGCGUUUGACCAUCCGUCUUAUUUGAAAUUUUUCAAGAAAUUAAAAAAAUAGUCACACGUAAAGUAUUAUUCAUGAUUUAUGAUCUAAUAAAAACAAAAAUGUUAAUCGUAAAAGAAAUUUAAAUAAGACGAAGAGUCAAACAUUGUAAGUAAAAAAUGAAAGAUUGAUUUAUU